AUGGGCGUAUACACAGUGGACAUUAGAACUCUUUCUGUCCUUUGGACGCUCUUCCUUGGAUUAAUUAUCUCCGACUUCGUCAAAGGAGCUGUUAGCCAUGGAAAGCUACAGUACACCAGAACCACACUGCUGCAAUUGAACUGUGGGAGAAUGUGUGGGACAGACAUCAUGCUACAACUGCCUGAUUGUAUCCUAAAAAACCCAGGGGGGAAAAUAGCGGCAACAAAGAGAAAGCGAGGUAAGCGGGGAGGCGUCAGGCAAUGCUUCCGAAAACAGUGGCUUUCUCGCAUUCCUCUACCCACCAUGAUCCUAGGGAACAUCCAGUCCCUGAGGAAUAAAAUGGAUGAGCUCCAGGGGAACGUCAGUUUUCUGAAGGACUUCAGGGAGUGUUGUGUCCUGGCUUUCACAGAGACCUGGUUGACGGAGAAUGAUCAGGACACCGACGUGUCAAUUGAUGGAUUUGGGGCACCUUAUCAUCGUGAUCGGGAGAGAGAGGUAACGGGGAAAUCUCAAGGUGGCAGGGUAUGUUUAUAUUUUAACAAACGAUACUGCACUUCUGUGACUGUAAGAGAGCGUAUCUGUACAUCAGAUGUUGAACUUUUAUCAGUAUCACUACAACCUUUCUACCUACCCCGUGAAGUUCCACAAGUUUUUAUUAAGACAGUCUAUAUUCACCCAAGGGCGAAUGAUGCGUCGACCUCUAACACCAUCUUCGAAACCGUGCAGAAAUUACAAUCACUCUCACCUGAGGCACCAAACUUUAUAGUGGGUGAUUUUAACCAUGUAUGUCUUAAGAAAACACUUACAAACUUUUACCAGUAUGUUUCCUGUCCUACUAGACGGGAUAGAACCCUGGACCUUUGCUAUGGAUCUAUAAAAGACGCUUACAAAUCACUGCCUUUACCGCCGCUGGGUUCAGCGGACCACAACUGUGUGCAUUUGCUGCCAACAUAUAAAACUGUCCUAAAAAGACAUAAAGCUCAAGUUAGAGUAAUUAAAGACUGGACUGAUGAAUCAAUACUAUGCUUACAAGACUGUUUUGAUUGUACAGACUGGGAAAUGUUUAAAAAGUAUUGUGGGGAUGACUUUAAUGAAUGGACUGAUGUGACAUGCUCAUAUAUUGCCUUUUGUAGAGACAUGAUUGUCCCAUGUAAACAGGUGAAAAUUUAUCCUAAUAACAAACCAUGGAUAACUAAAACUGUUAAAGAUAGUUUACAGAAAAAACAAUCAUGUUUUAAGGGGGGUGACAUUGCUGAACUACAAAUAGCAAAAAAGGAUUUAAAAAUAGGAAUUCUCAAAGCAAAACGAGACUAUAAAUAUAAACUGGAGAACCAGAUGGCAACAAACAAUCUUGGAUCAGCCUGGGACAGUAUGAAAACCAUAGCAGGCCUCCAGAAUCUAAAAAGCAGCAGCCCAGUCACCUUGGAUGGCUUCAGCUCAGAUACUGAGCUGGCCAGUGCUCUUAUUCAAUUUUACAAUCGGUUUAAUAUUUUUGAUUUUAGCGAUGAGAUCGACAAUUUGAGUAAACAGCUUGUAGACAUUCAACAUUUUAAUAUAACACAAACCGAAGUGCACAAAGCAUUCCUCUCUAUAAGAGUUAAUAAAAGUCAUGGUCCAGAUAACAUCUGUGGGCGCACACUCAAAACCUGUGCAAAGCAAUUGAGUACUCCUUUCCACUACAUUUUUAACAAAUCUUUAGAGGCACAAUUCCUGUCCCCAAAUCUAACAACACCAAAAAUCUUAAUGAUUUCAGACCAGUGGCACUCACAUCAAUAG
ensembl:lncRNA